AAACUUUAACAACGGAUCUCUUGGUUCCGGCAUCGAUGAAGAACGCAGCGAAAUGCGAUAAGUAAUGUGAAUUGCAGAAUUCAGUGAAUCAUCGAAUCUUUGAACGCACAUUGCGCCCCCUGGUAUUCCGGGGGGCAUGCCUGUCCGAGCGUCAUUA
rnacentral:rRNA from 1 species